AGAGGUCCCGCCUGCCCAGUGACAAUGUUAAACGGCCGCGGUAUUCUGACCGUGCUAAGGUAGCGCAAUCACUUGUCUUUUAAAUGAAGACCUGUAUGAAUGGCUAAACGAGGGCUAAACUGUCUCCUUUUUCCAGUCAAUGAAAUUGAUCUCCCCGUGCAGAAGCGGGGAUAAUAACAUAAGACGAGAAGACCCUGCGGAGCUUAAGACCCGAGCCAGCCCACACGAACCAUUUUAAAGCUAAAAUAAAUGGACUAAGUGCCCCCUGUCCUCCGUCUUCGGUUGGGGUGACCUUGGGGAAAUACGAAACCCCCACGUGGCAUGGGAGAUCCUAACGCCUAACUAUGCUCCUUAAUAAUAGAGAUACCUCUCAAACAAUCAGAAUAUCUGACCAAAAAUGAUCCGGCAUCAGCUGAUCAACGAACCAAGUUACCCCAGGGAUAACAGCGCAAUCCUCUUUUAGAGUCCAUAUCGACAAGAGGGUUUACGACCUCGAUGUUGGAU
rnacentral:rRNA from 1 species